rnacentral:lncRNA from 1 species
AAAUGGCUGUCUGGCAGGCAGCCACGGUCUCUUACUUAAAGGGCAGCACACACCCAGAGGAAGACAGGGAGAACGAGAGCAGGAGAGCUGCACUGGUCUAAUGGACACAUUGCUGAGACACUGAGGCUAGACUGGCAGUGGCCUUCGGUGUUUGCUUGGCUGGUUGCCACAAGAAGGUGCUGAAUCCCUGUGCUGGAAGAUUUGGGUACCCACUCCUGUACUUGGCAGGCGACUAGGCAACCUCAGUCGUGCCACAUUUCAACCGGUCAUCAGGUAUGCAGGGCCCAGAGUGCAUCCUGGGUGUCCCCUGCACAACCAGCCCAGUCAUUAUCCAGGGAGCGGAUACACG